rnacentral:lncRNA from 1 species
CUCUUCCCGGCAUGGGUUUCUGCCCAGCUCACCCGCUGUCAGCUGGGGUCCUGCUCUGGUGGGAGGAAGAGGCUCAGACGCUUCCCUGCCCUCUCGCCUCAACCACCUCGAGGCAGCGGCUCCCAGGAUGUGCACUUUGACGACUAAAGCUGAGCCGGCGCCGCCACGACCUUGGGCGGGUGGUCGGCCUCUGCCCUGAGCAGGAAGUAGAAAGUCUCAGCAGACCCUUCCUGAGGGCCGAGCAACAGUGUAGUGGCGUAUUCCACAUAGCAAACAGGGUGAAAAUGGAAAUUCACCUGUGGAACUCACUGGCCAUUGUGGAAGAAACAGUAAGAUGACCCUCCCUUCAUUAUGCUGGCCAAUAUGUUUUCUGAAGCUCAGAGGGACACCUUGUAUUGCUGGAUGAUAAAAACAGGAGCAAAGUGAUGAAGUGCUGACAAGGCAACAAUAGAACAUGAGAGAUUCACUGCUGUGUAGGAAGAGAUCUUCGGUGACCAUGUAGCCUGAAGCUCUCAUUUUGUCAUCGAGGGACACCAAAACUCAGAACAGUGCUAAGCUCCUACAUCCUGUUCUGGAAGGACAAUCCUGAGCACACGAUGAGCCAUAUAAACUUCAGACUGACGCUGAGUGAAAGAAUGCUGGAAAAGCAUCACAGGCCAGGGCAGCAAAGUCUUCAAGGUCAUCCGUGCUCUGAUGAUGUCACGCUUCUUCCCUGUCUGGAAGACAUUUCCCCAAGAGCAUACCACCAACAUCAGGGAAAUGGAAUCCAACUGGUCGCUGCAAAGUUUGCUGAGCACACAGUGAUAAAGAUGGCAAGAAGGUCCUGAGAGAAACGCAAUAUUUUUGUGCAGAAUGGGAUGUUCUGCCUUUGUCCCAUGCUUUGAAAUUUACCACAUGAAAAAUAAAAUUAAAUACUGAUCAUCA